GACGAACGCUGGCGGCGUGCUUAACACAUGCAAGUCGAACGAAAAGAGGGAAAGAGCUUGCUCUUUCCGGAAUUGAGUGGCAAACGGGUGAGUAACACGUAAACAACCUGCCUUCAGGAUGGGGACAACAGACGGAAACGACUGCUAAUACCGAAUAAGUUCCAAGAGCCGCAUGGCCCAUGGAAGAAAAGGUGGCCUCUACCUGUAAGCUAUCGCCUGAAGAGGGGUUUGCGUCUGAUUAGCUGGUUGGAGGGGUAACGGCCCACCAAGGCGACGAUCAGGAGCCGGUCUGAGAGGAUGAACGGCCACACUGGAACUGAGACACGGGCCAGACUCCUACGGGAGGCAGCAGUGGGGAAUCUUCCGCAAUGGGCGAAAGCCUGACGGAGCAACGCCGCGUGAGUGAUGACGGCCUUCGGGUUGUAAAACUCUGUGAUCCGGGACGAAAAGGCAGAGUGCGAAGAACAAACUGCAUUGACGGUACCGGAAAAGCAAGCCACGGCUAACUACGUG
rnacentral:rRNA from 1 species